AAUGGAUGCCUAAGUGAAUGGAUGGAUUCAUGAAUAGAUAGUCAUCACACAAUUUCUCCCAGAGAGAAGGCCAUUCCAUCAAUAUGGAAGAAAUACAAUAAAGGCAAGAAAGAAGAUGGAUGACCCAUCAAGCAAUGAGAGUCUUUUCUCCAUGGGGAAGAAUAUACCACUUCUACAGUACUCCCCACCCCCUCCUGAUCAGGGAGCUGGUGUCUUGCGUUUCACAGAAAGGGAUCUUUUGAAAAAGUGCAGAAAGUUGGUGACAUACACAGGCUGCAGCACAGGUACUGCUGUAUGGGGGUAUCCCCACAGCCUCAUGCUGCCACUCCUAUGGUCC
rnacentral:lncRNA from 1 species